UUUGCGUAGGCAGAGAGCAGAAGUCAUGGGGCUUCUUUUACGAAUUUUUUGUUCUUGCUUUGGUGAAGAAUUGGGAACUAAAGGUUUUUUCUUAUCAAUAAAUAGUUGAUUAUAGAAAAAUGGGGAUCAAAUGCUGUUAUUUACUACCCAGUCUUCCGAAACAAAGAGUGUUUCUGCUUAGUUCGCUUGAAUUUUACUUACCUCAAUUUAGGAGUUCCGCUGUUUAAUAGCAUAGCAUAGGAAAUAGAUGGUGAAGUAAUGAGAAAUCGGCUAAGUAUACCGUGUUAAUGCUGAA
rnacentral:misc_RNA from 1 species